rnacentral:rRNA from 1 species
GAUGAACGCUGGCGGCGUGCCUAAUACAUGCAAGUCGAGCGAACGGACGAGAAGCUUGCUUCUCUGAUGUUAGCGGCGGACGGGUGAGUAACACGUGGAUAACCUACCUAUAAGACUGGGAUAACUUCGGGAAACCGGAGCUAAUACCGGAUAAUAUUUUGAACCGCAUGGUUCAAAAGUGAAAGACGGUCUUUCUGUCACUUAUAGAUGGAUCCGCGCUGCAUUAGCUAGUUGGUAAGGUAACGGCUUACCAAGGCAACGAUGCAUAGCCGACCUGAGAGGGUGAUCGGCCACACUGGAACUGAGACACGGUCCAGACUCCUACGGGAGGCAGCAGUAGGGAACCUUACGCAAUGGGCGAAAGCCUGACGGAGCAACGCCGCGUGAGUGAUGACGGUCUUCGGAUCGUAAAACUCUGUUAUUAGGGAAGAACAUAUGUGUAAGUAACUGUGCACAUCUUGACGGUACCUAAUCAGAAAGCCACGGCUAACUACGUG